rnacentral:lncRNA from 1 species
UGGAAGCCAUUUUAGGAGAGUUUCGUGGAGUUUGAAUCUUGAAAAUGGAUUCCAACAGGAAAAAACAAUAAUUUUAUAAUGAAAUGGAUGGGUAGGUGGGUUGGUGGAAGAAGAGUUGAAGUUGUUGGAGUUGGAAGCCGAUGUAGUUGGGCGAGGGGUGCAUGGAAGGAAAAUGAAUCCAACAAAACGGAAUGUGUUGGUGGUAGGAAUUGCAACCGGGCGGAGGCGGCAUGGGGCAGGUCAGGACAAAUGUGAAAUAUCCUUAUUUAAGGUCAUGCUUAAUUAAUACAAUCAUGCUACACGUACAAGUUCAAAAAUAGGUUGGACAAGUGUCAACUUGUGAAUUGACAAUUUGAAAAAUUAAAACAAAAAACACCAUUUGUUGCCAAAUCACUAUGUCUCCUUCUUCUUUUUUUAAACCUGGUUAAGUGGCUUUAUUCUAAUUCAUAUUGUUUAUAAUAUUAUAAUUUUUUUCUUAAAUUAUCUGAAAAACAUAAAACAAAAUAAAUAUUUAAAUAUUUAGGCAAGACAAGGUAGUGAAUUUAAUUUACAAUACCUAAUUAAUUUUUUUAAUAUUUAUUAUUGGUGAAUUAUAAAUAAAAUCAAUAAUUUGUCUAAAUAAAUAAAUAAUUGUAUGGUGUCAAAUGUAAGUAAUCCGACGUGAAUGUUUAAGCAUUUGGAGAAAUUAUGUCUCUCAAAACUUUAGGGAUCAACAUUAGGCUAAAAAAACGUAAAAGCAAUAUAAAUGGCAUGUUCGGUAGUGAUUAUGAAAAUUGAAUUUUUUAUCGUUAGAGAGAAAGUGGAUCUCACUUGUGAGUAAAGAAAUAAAAAAUGACAGCUGAAAUAAUAAAAUAACGGUCAAAAAAUUAAAUUUUUUGGGUAAAAAAUUGCUUCCAAACAUGGGCAAAAGUGCUCUCUAAAAAAAGCAUCACAUAGGGAGAAAUAGCCAGUUUAGAGUUUCUUGUGCCAUCAACUUAUAAUUGCCGACAAGGUUCAGUCGUAUCAAGGUUAUGUUCUUAGAAAGUGUUUAUUGUGUUUUCUCUUUCUUUGUGUUAUAUGGUAGCACAGACUAUAUAGCUCUGUCUAAACUACGUUCAACGGACCAUACUUGUUGUACAUCAUGCCAUAUAGCAUGGUGUACAACCCCUUCACACAUAAGGGGGCCCACCAUUGAUAAAAACUUGGUGAGCCCCCUCAUGUGUGAGGGGGCCGUACACUAUGUUGUAAGCAUGGUGUACAACCACAUAACUCUGAUCAAAAUCAAAUUGACAUAAAAAGAUGGGCCAACAAUGAGAUUUAGGACUUGUAUUUUUUUAGUAAAGUAUCAUUGAAGUCCCAGUGUUAGGCUCUAUCACAAGAUAGAGGGGUUAGAAUUCUUGUACUAUAAGAUCGAUAAAACAAAAUAAAUACAAUGGAGGGGUAAAACCUAACAUCCAAUCAAAGUCCUGAAAACCAAAAGUAAUAAAUGAGAAGGUACUACAACUUUUACAAAUAUGAAGAAUGAAAAAAUAAAGUUUAGAUACCCCUGCAAGUGAAAAGAUCAUAAUAGUCAAUCUGGACUAGGUUGCGCAGUCUUCGGUAUAGAUCAAGAGGACCGUUUUCCUGAUAGCAGCGUAUGUCCAUCCCCCUACAAAUAGUGCUACUUUAUGUAAUUCCAUUACAUCUUACAUUAAAAUACGAGGAAUCAUGUCAAUUAAGAAGAUGGAUGAUUUGUAAAGACCCAUUGAAAACUGAAAGGAAGGGGUAAGGCAAUCUUUUACAAUAAUCACGAGUCAAGACUUCACUAUUUGAGUACCAUAUUCUUACAAGUCAAUACAAAAUAAAUCCAUGAUUGUCAUGAAUUUCCCUUUUAAUCAAGUUCGUACGAACAUAUAGUCAAUAUCAUGCUUUUUUAUUAGCUCAUUCUCCUUCCAUGGUGGUGUGACAAAUGACAAAUGAUUUCCCUUAUGAUAAAUAUAGGAAAGAGUGUCAUAGUCGAAGAAAAGUAGAUGUUUGAUAUGACCGAGGAUAGUAUUAAAUAUACCACAUCAUCAACCACAUGUUAAGCAAUAAAUUUCUAAAGAGGACUCUACCUCUAUUCAUGAGUUCGUAAGUCCAAGCCGACGUGUAAUAAGAAUCCCAUGAAGAAUGGCUCGUAGUUUAGCCUCACGUAUAGGAUAAUCACCAUAGGAUGAGAACAAAGCAUGAAUGCAUCAUCUGGAUUGAUCCCAAACGAUACCCCACCACUUACAAAAUCAUCCCCGGAGUACAGAUUGACGUUGAUAUUCGUAGAAUCUCACCCGUGGAGCAUGCCAGAAAACUAGGAUAGGAGAAGAAGGUGGCAGUGAGAUAGAGAAAUACAAAAUAGAGGAACGAUAAUCAAGUCCAUAGCAAAUGCACAAACUGAAAUAAACGACCUGCAUGAAGAAAAGAAAGAUAGUUCAAUAGACACGCUCCAUUUUAUCCAUCCCAAAUUAUUUCCAAAACAAUUGAUUUCUAAAUUCUUUCUCACUCCAAAAUAUGUCAACAUAAUUUUCAAACUAUUUUCAAUUUUUAGUGUCCAGUCAAGAAAUUAAGAUCAAGCUUCGGUUCCCCGAAAGAAUUAAUAUUACGCUAUAUUAAUUUUAAAAGAAAAAUUGUAUCUUGAGAGACAAUUAUUUGAUCCUGUUAUUAUCGGUACAAUGAACUAAAGCCAUCUUAAGGAAUUUUUUAUUGCAUAUCUUGGUUCAUUCUAAUUUGGAAGUCUUUGUUUUGCUCAUUCUAAUUUCCACACUUUUGCAAGUCUUUGUUUUGCUCAUUUUCAUGCAUGUAUCAUGGUUUCUGUAAGUCAAAUUUUCUUCCAUAAUUUUCAUAUUAAUUUGAAAAAUAGAGCAUAAAUAAUGCAGCAAAUUUUUCCAACAAACCAAAAAAUAACCCAGCUUGUGACAAUCUGCGUGAAACUUCCCUCUCAAGAUAUGAAUUCCUCUCUUGCCUUCAAAGCAGUGGCGGAGCCAGGGAGGCCGCCCAUGCUGGUUCCAUCGAAAAUUUAUAUUUAGGGCGAACCACCUUUUUUCAGAUGAAAAUGAAUGGUAUAAGAACUGGAAAUCUCACAUUAAUUAAAAGUGCUGCCAACCAUUUGCUGUUUCCACCUUUCAUAAAAUUCAAUAUACCUGAGAGUGUAGCUAUUAAAUGUCCUGAGAGAAGAAAUAGCCCAUAAAUGGCCAUUUUAAGCCACUGAUUGUAUGGUCAAGGCCGACUAGCAGAAAAUUUAUGAUGGCCUUCUGUAUUUUCAGGUUGAUAAUUUGCUGCUUCUUCUUCAAAUUUCUGAUGAUCCGCUGAGAUUAUGCAACACUUAAGUCUUAACUAAGAAAAUAGUGACAAUUUCCCAACAAUCUCGAACGAUAGUUUGCGAUGAAGAAAGAAACUACAAUGGCUACGAUCAAGUCGAUGAUUCGGAUCUUGUUUUGAUCGUUCUGAUGGGACGAAUUCCGCAAAAGUAAUCUGGAACAUUUUUGGACAAAAUAUUUCCAUUGAAGAAUGAAAGGAUUGAAUCCGGUUUGGUAAGACGAAAUCAUGUUCGAUCUUCGCACAUUCAAAAUGUAUGUUUGUGAAUAUAAUAUGCACAUGUUUCUUAAAAAAAAAUUAUAUAUAUUUGCGAAAGUGGAAUAUAGAAAAAGGUAGAAAUCGUUUGAUGGCCAGACAUAAAUGAAUGAUGCCGUUCGCUGAUAAGCACUUUAUUCCAAAUCUGUAUGCAUGCUUUCUGCCAAUUGCCGACUGUUGUAGGACAUGUUGAAUUCAUGUGUUAAAAGUUUGUUAAAGAUGAGACAAUCCAAACAUUAAUUGACAUUUAAUUAGACACACGCCUCUAAAUGUUCUUGCACUUAAUGCAUGUGUUUGUUGAAGAAAAUCAUACUCUCUCAUGCACCAGUGUGUAUACUUUCUAAUUGUUAUUAUAGUUGAAUGGUCAAAAUGGUGGGUAAUGGAUAUAAAUCUUUCCUACCAAAAUACCAGUUUGGCAGUUGGUAAGAUGGUGACUGAUUAUUGUUUUAAAUGCAUGGCUGCCAAUGACUAUAAAUUUCAACAAGUGCUUGUGGUGACUUUUCAAUUUUUUUUAAUGCAAUUUAAACCAAUUGUAUUUUUUUGGCCGGUGACUGUUCGGUGAUGCGAAAGUAAUCCGAUGUUAAUUCCCAAUUCUUUCCUUAAGUAAUCUAACGUCAAAUUGAUUAUCCCUAAUAAAGUGACAUGUAUAUUCACUAAAUGGGAUCUUUAUAUUAGUCACUGGUACAACCCCAAUGGUGUUUACUAUUGAGGUGCAUGUUUGCACAAAAGUUAUGUAUAUAUAUUUUAUAUAUAAAUAAAUUGAUAAUGAUCAAUAACUUAUUUUGCACAAAUGCAUGGAGGAAAUCUAUGUUCUUUUGUUUGGAGAAUAUUUGAAAUAUAUUAUCCGCACUUGCUCACUUGAGGAUGCAUGUUUAGCGUCCACCCAUAUGGUCAAAUGGGCAAAAUUUUGAUAGCAAAUUAAUUUAAGGUAUAAAUUGCUUGCCCUAUUAUUGGGAUAUGGAAACAUUUUAUGAAAGACAAAUGAUGUCCAUAGUUAGUGAUGAUGCCAGAUAUCUUUGAAAAAAUGAAUAUAAAAAAAAUCUUAUGCAAAAUUAAAUUUGCAUAUGAAAAAUGAUCUUGUCCAAAUAAGAAUAAGGUAAAUAUGUACCUUAUUAUUUGAUGAUAUGGUGAUAUGUAAUCAAUUGAAUUUGAUUGGAGAAGUUGUAAUUCUUGUAAAUCAAGAUGGUUGAUCUUCUUCAUUGAUUGAAUUUGACUUCAAUCUCACCAUAAUCGUCACCAAGAAAAACAUGAAGAUUAUUGGAAAUAUAUCAAAGUUGUACCUUGAUGAUUGUUGAACCUAAAAGCUAUAAAAUAGCAUCAGAACAAUCAGAAUGGAGAAAAGCUAUAGAUGAAGAAAUAAAAAUGAUCGAGAAAAAUAACAUUUGAGAGCUUGUAGAUCUUCCUCAAGAUAAAGAAGUUAUAGGAGUUAAUUGGGUUUACAAGACGAAGCUUAAUACUGAUAACUCAAUCCAAAAAUAUAAAGCAAGAGUAGUCGCCAAAGAAUACUCACAAGAGUUUGGCAUCAACUACACUGAGACAUUUGUUCCAGUUACACGUCUUGACGCUAUAAAGGUGUUGAUUGCACUAACUGCACAUAAAAAGUGGAAGAUUUACUAGCUAAACGUCAAAUCAGCAUUUUUUAAUGGUUAUUUGGAAGAAGAAAUUUAUAUAGAGCAACCUCAAAGGUACGUGGUACAAGGUAAAGAAGAUAAGGCUCUUAAAUUAAGGAAGGCACUAUAUGGAUUAAAGCAAGCUCUGUGAGCUUGGUAUAAUAGAAUAGAUAACUACUUCACUGAGCAAGGAUUUAGGAGGAGCCAAAGUGAACCAACUCUAUCCAUAAAAAAUCAAGGUACAAGGAGUACACUUAUAAUCUCUUUAUAUGUUGAUAAUCUCAUCUAUACGGGGAACGAUGAGAAGAUGAUCGAGAAAUUCAAGGCAAAUAUGAUGACAACAUUCAAAGAUGACUAAUAUGGGAUUAAUGCACUAUUUCUUGGGAUUGAGAUAGCUCAAUCUGAAGAUAAGAUCUUCAUUACUCAGAAGAAGUAUACCAUUAGUCUAUUAAAGAAGUUCAAGAUGGAAGGUUGCAAAACAGUAGUAACACCCUUGGAUAUCAACAAAUCUCUCAGAAAAGAAGACGAUACUCCAAAUUUGGACAACUCACAAUUUCGAAGCUUAAUUGGAAGUUCACUCUAUCUCACAGCUACAAGGCCAAACAUAAUGUAUGCAACCAGCAUACUUUCAAGAUUCAUACAAAAUCCAAGUCAAAUUCACUAUAGAGCUGCAAAACGAAUACUAAGAUACCUCUAAGGAACAAAAGACUACGGAAUAAGGUAUCAGUCUUUGCCUGACUCAAGACUACUUGGGUAUACUAAUAGCAAUUGUGUAGGAACAAUAGAUGAUAUGAAGAGCCCAUCAGGUUACGCACUCACACUAGAUUUUGAAAUAUUUUCUUGGGCAUUAAAGAAACAAGCAACGGUUACACAAUCAUCAGCUGAAGAAGAGUAUAUUGCAUCAACAAUGGCAACAAGUCAAGCUAUAUGGCUAAAACGCAUAAUUGAAGACAGGGGAGAACCACAAGAUGAAGCUACAGAGAUUUACUGCGACAGUAAGUCUACAAUAGCAAUGACCAAGAAUCUCACAUUCCACAGCAGAACCAAACACGUUGGGAUCAAAGACCAUUUCAUCAUAAAAGCUGAAGCAAAUAAAGAGAUAGAGCUCAAACAUUACAAGAUUGAAGAACAAUUAGCAAAUAUAUUUACUGUUACCACUAGCAAAGUUUGAGUUACUACGAGAAAUGAUCGGAGUAAUCAAAAUAUGCACCAAUGAGGAGUAUUAAUGGUUGUAGAAUAUUUUAAUAUUACUCUAAAAUUCACUAAAAUUGCCUUGGGGGGGCAAGAAAAUAGAAGUCCCUAGCAUUUCUUGAUGAGCAAGCAAAAAUAGUAAUUAAAAAUUAAAAAAUAAGAAUUUUCUAGAAUAGUGUUCACCACCAUUUUGUGUGUAUAAAUAGGGACUACCACCUUCAAAAUUUUGUAACAAAAAAUUGAAAAGAGCAUCCAACCUCUUGCAUUGUAAAUCAAAAGCCACUUUGUAAAACUUUAAUAAAAUUACUUUCUUCCUCCUUCAACUAUCUUGUUCAAUUAAAUUACUCCUAUCAUUUCUAUCCUACAUAAAAUCUACUCAACCACUUCUAUCUCAACCCAUUUAUUUCUUCUACUCAAAAUAAAAAACCUUCAGUUGAUUUUGGCUCUUUUAAGAGAAAAUUAUAUGAAUCCCAUUAUAUUUGACAAACAAAUUAUAUAUAAAAAGUUUACCAAAUGGAUACUAAAAGCAUGGUCAACCAAGUAAAAAUCUUGGGGAAACUGAGCAAGAAAUACAAUCAUUUUAUACAUAGAAACUUCAUUACUCUACAAGACUCAAGACAUAUCUCGAUUAAUUCACUAACUGCAAUCCAACGAAAGUCUUCAAAAAGCUAAGCAAGAAAUUCAAUCAAUUAAUAAAAAGAAACAGAAAUGAGCCACACAAAAAAAAAAAAAAAGGAUCCUUACUUGAGCGAGAAGUUGCUUAAUUGAGAAGAGAAAGAGAUAGAAUGAGAAACUUGUGAAUCUGAACUGGGUUUAAACUGAGGGUCUUUAGAAGCAAUUCUUGAUGAGGCCUGCAAAGAAUGAGGAGCAGUGGAAGCCAUUUUAGGAGAGUUUCGUGGAGUUUGAAUCUUGAAAAUGGAUUCCAACAGGAAAAAACAAUAAUUUUAUAAUGAAAUGGAUGCGUAGGUGGGUUGGUGGGAAGAAGAGUUGAAGUUGUUGGAGUUGGAAGCCGAUGUAGUUGGGCGAGGGGUGCAUGGAAGGAAAAUGAAUCCAACAAAACGGAAUGUGUUGGUGGUAGGAAUUGCAACCGGGCGGAGGCGGCAUGGGGC